CUAUUACGUGGAGUUAGUUGGUGAACUCCAGUUAACCUCUGGAGGAGAUAUUGACGAAGUGUUAUUUUCACAUGCUGGAAAACGCCAUCAUGGCCAGGAUGCGGACGUGUACUUCGUCAAAGUCAAGAGAUUCCUUGUGGAUGAGAACCUUUUCUGCCAGAAGUUUCGUGGAUGUGUGACGGCUGAUCAGUUUCGUGACAAGUAAUAUGAUCUGGACGCGUUUGGACCAUUCAGCAAGAUACACCCACGAAAAGGAAAAACACUGGAGCUCACGAUCGUCGUGAAGUUGGGGCGGCAACAUCUUUGGUUGCUUCAACGUCCACCGCUACCACCUCCAACUUGUCCAAGUCAACACCGAAGGCUCCCAAGUCCACCUCGGUCCGAUCCAAGUCAACACCGACGGCUUCCAAAUCCAUCAACAGUGAUGUCGACAGCAGGGACGGAUUUGAGCGUCAAAAGAGAACAACGCCCAUUCCAGACAAGAAACUCGUGAUUCGACUCUUCAUGGCGAGGAGACAUGUGACUGUGGAGGCGCUUGCAACUGUCACGCUUCCACGUCAAACAAAGAGGAGAACUGUGAUCUUCCAGUGGGUCGCAUCAAAGAUGCUAUUCGAUCAAAACGUACGAUCGCUGACGAUGUGCCGUCUUGAGUGCCAUUCAAAAGGAAUUGGAACCUUUUGCAUGGACCGAGACCGCGCGCAGCAAGAUUCUCCAACACUUCACCUGCACGCUUGAAUCCUCCCACUGCGACCGAUGCCCAGUUCUCGCGCACUGUCCGAAACCGUCCCCAGUGCAACCUGUAUAUUACGUCAAGUACAUGUGAUUGCGGUUCGACUACAUUUGUCCACGAACAAUACAUUCAAUGGCUUAUUCAUAUUGUGCUAGGGUACUGCCAUAUGAUCUUUGUAACACCAUAGUUCUUGAAAUGUGUAAUCCCAGAUGUAGUGAAGUUGUGAUGCUACAUGUUGCCAGUAGUCUCUGAUUGUUCUUUCUCUCUGUUCAUGUUUAACCACUGAGUCUAUACCGCAAACGAUUGCACAACGAAUUGUAUCGAGCACAAGCUGAACUUGAA